UGAUGACAUAAUCUUGAUAGACGAGACGAGGGUCGGUGUUAUUGAGAUGUUAGAAGUAUGGAGACAGACUCUCGAGUCUAAGGGUUUCAGAAUAAGCAGAUCUAAGACAGAAUGCCUGGAGUGCAAGUUUAGCACCGAGCCGAGCGAAGUAGGCAGGGACGUGAUGAUUGGUUCUCAGGCCAUCGCCAAGAGGGACAAUGUCUGAUAUCUUGGGUCUGUGACUCAGGGGGACGGAGAGAUUGACGGGGACGUCACUCAUCGUAUAGGAGCGGGGUGGUCAAAGUGGAGGCUUGCAUCAGGAGUCCUGUGUGACAAGAAAGNNN
rnacentral:lncRNA from 1 species